GUCGUGAGAUGUUCGGUUAAAGUCCGGGCAACGAGCGCAACCCACAUCCUUAGUUGCCAGCAGUUCGGCUGGGCACUCUAGGGGAAAACUGCCCGUGAUAAGCGGGAGGAAGGUGUGGAUGACGUCAAGUCCUCAUGGCCCUUACGGGUUGGGCUACACACGUGCUACAAUGGCAUCAACAAUGGGUUAAUCCCCAAAAGAUGUCUCAGUUCGGAUUGGGGUCUGCAACUCGACCCCAUGAAGUCGGAAUCGCUAGUAAUCGCGUAACAGCAUGACGCGGUGAAUACGUUCCCGGGCCUU
rnacentral:rRNA from 1 species